ensembl:lncRNA
UGGCCCUGAGCUUGGGAGAGGAUCCAGGUGGGCCUGAUGUAAUCAAAGGGCCCCUAGAAGGGAGGGAGAGAUGCAGGAGAGACUGUCCGAGUGGGAAGAAGGGUGCCAGGAGCCAGGAAAUUCAGGACAAAAAAGAAACUUUUCUUAGUUUCAAGUGAUAAAGUUUUUUGUGGUUGGAUCCAUAUGGAAUAACAUGGUAACAUAUCAGAGGAACUCCAAACACAGUGCAAAGGGCCAUCGCUAGAAAACAGGACGUCAUUGCAGAGGAUCAUCCAUGGAAAGCAGUGGGAGAUUACACUGGAUACGCACCAAUCUUAAGAAAUACACUGACAUUAUACUCUCACGUUUUUAUGUUUUUCCCUCAAAAGCAAAGUGCACAAAAAAAUCUAUUUUCACAGGCAAUGUUGAAUAAUUUAUCAUGGCAUCAUACUCUGAGGGAUGCCUCCCAGGUCCUUGAGAAGGAAGUUCCUAGGUUGUAAAACUGCCAAGAGGCUGGAAGAAGAUUUACAUCUCAAAGGGACAGAGAAAAAAACGUACAAUGGUAUCUAAAUUGAAAAAGAAGUAAAACUGUCAUAAGAUAACAUGAUCAUCUAUGUUGAAAAUUCAAUGGAAUCUACAAAAAAUACUGUAAGAACUAACAAGUGUGUUUAGUGAGGCUGCAGGAUAUAAAAUCAACAUACAAAAAUAAAUCAUAUUAAAAUGCAACAGCAACAGACAAUUGGAAAUCAAAAUUAAACAAUCAGCACCGUUUAUGAUAGCCUUAAAGAAUCUCAAAUACUUAGGACUAAAUCUGAUGAAGUAUGUAUAUGACCCGAACACUGAAAACCACAAAACAUUGUUGAAGAAGACCUAAAUAAAGAGAAAGUUAUACUGUCUGCAUUGAUUAGAAACCUGAAUAGGGCAAGCCCCGGUGGCCUAGUGGUUAAGUUCGGCACGCUCCGCUUCUGCAGCCCAGGUCCAGUUCCUGGGUGUGGACCUACACCGCUCAUCUCUUAGUGGUCACGCUGUGGUGGCAGCUCACCUACAAAAAGAGGAAGCCUGGCAGUAGAUGUUAGCUCACUGUGAAUCUUCCUCAACAAAAGAAAAGAAAAAGAAAAAGAAAACCAAAUAGAAGAAAGGUGUUAAUUCUCUCCAGAUUUGGUAUAUAGAUUCAGUGUAAUUCCAACCAAAAUCCCAGGAGGAUUUCUUGUAGAACUUGAAAAGCUAAUUUUAAAAUUCAUAACAAAAUUCAAAGGACCUAGAAUAGCUAAUACAAUUUUUGAAUGUAAGAAUGAUACAAUACUAACGUUAUCAGAUUUCAAUCAGUAUUUCUUUUUUCUAUUCUCCUUUUCUCUCUUCUGUUUUUGUAUAUAUUUUAUACAUCUUGAAGUUGUCCAUCAGCUCAAUAAUCCCCUGAUCAAUUUUUUUUCUUUUUUAUGUAUACGUUUCAUUUUAGAUUAAGUCUACUGUUAUGUCUUCAGCUUUAUUACAUUUUCUUCUGUGAUGUCUAAUCUGCAGAUAAUUCCAUCUGGUGUAUUUUUCAUCUCAGGCAUUGUAGUUUUCAUCUCUAGAAGUUCUAUUUGAGUCUAUUUUCUAACUUCCAUGUCUAUACUUGUUCAAUAUUUCCACUGGUUUUUGAACAUAGGGAAUAUAAUUUAAUAACUGUUUUAAUGUCCUUAAUUGCCAAUUCUAACAGCUGUGUCAGUCCCAGGUUGUUUUGGUUAAUUGACUCUUUCUCCCCAUUGUGAUUCAUAUUUUCCUUCUUCUUUGAUGUCUGGUAAUUUGGCUUCAAUGCCAUAUACUUUGAAUUUUAUCUUUGGGUGGUUGGGUAUUUUUGUAUUACUGUAAAUAUUUUUGAGCUUUGUUCUGAUAUGUAGCUAAGUUACUUGGAAACAGUUUGAUCCUUUCAGUUCUUGAUUUUAAAAUGUCUUAGGACUAGAGCAGCAUUUAGACUACAGCUGAUUUUAUUCCAAAAAUGAGUUGAAACACUUUUCCAGUGCCCUGUGAGUUUUGAUGUUUUUCACUUUGGCUGGCCA